rnacentral:rRNA from 1 species
UGAGGAAUAUUGGUCAAUGGGCGCGAGCCUGAACCAGCCAAGUAGCGUGAAGGAUGACUGCCCUAUGGGUUGUAAACUUCUUUUAUACGGGAAUAAAGUGGUCCACGUGUGGAUUUUUGCAUGUACCGUAUGAAUAAGCAUCGGCUAACUCCGUGCCAGCAGCCGCGGUAAUACGGAGGAUGCGAGCGUUAUCCGGAUUUAUUGGGUUUAAAGGGAGCGCAGACGGGGGAUUAAGUCAGUUGUGAAAGUUUGCGGCUCAACCGUAAAAUUGCAGUUGAUACUGGUUCCCUUGAGUGCAGUUGAGGCAGGCGGAAUUCGUGGUGUAGCGGUGAAAUGCAUAGAUAUCACGAAGAACCCCGAUUGCGAAGGCAGCCUGCUAAGCUGUAACUGACGUUGAGGCUCGAAAGUGUGGGUAUCAAACAGGAUUAGAUACCCUGGUAGUCCACACGGUAAACGAUGGAUACUCGCUGUUGGCGAUAUACUGUCAGCGGCCAAGCGAAAGCAUUAAGUAUCCCACCUGGGGAGUACGCCGGCAACGGUGAAACUCAAAGGAAUUGACGGGGGCCCGCACAAGCGGAGGAACAUGUGGUUUAAUUCGAUGAUACGCGAGGAACCUUACCCGGGCUUAAAUUGCAGACGAAUUACCUGGAAACAGGUAAGCCGCAAGGCGUCUGUGAAGGUGCUGCAUGGUUGUCGUCAGCUCGUGCCGUGAGGUGUCGGCUUAAGUGCCAUAACGAGCGCAACCCUCGUGGCCAGUUACUAGCAGGUAACGCUGAGGACUCUGGCCAGACUGCCAUCGUAAGAUGCGAGGAAGGUGGGGAUGACGUCAAAUCAGCACGGCCCUUACGUCCGGGGCUACACACGUGUUACAAUGGGAGGUACAGAAGGCAGCUACCCGGCGACGGGAUGCCAAUCUCCAAAGCCUCUCUCAGUUCGGACUGGAGUCUGCAACCCGACUCCACGAAGCUGGAUUCGCUAGUAAUCGCGCAUCAGCCACGGCGCGGUGAAUACGUUCCC